rnacentral:lncRNA from 1 species
AGCUGGUGGUGACUUAGAGCUGUCACCAGCUGAGUGAUGACUGGAACCAGGACGUGGAAAUGGCCGCUGUGCUCAGGAAAUCAACAGGGGACACAAGGCCCAAGGGGCCUGUGGAGGCUGAGCCAGGCCCUUGGAGUGGGGCACUCCAGACUGCAUUAGAGCAAGAGCACGACGGGAAGUUUGUCUUGGUAGAUAACAUCCUCCAGGCUGCAGGACUGUUCGGCCACCACCCCUACCACGGGACGCUCCUUUCCCGCUGUCACCGGAGCGCUGCCCUGAGCCUGCAGUUCCCAGAUGCCUUUCAGCUGCUGGCAGACCUGUAAUGCCUGAGUCUGCAGGGAGAGAGAAAUCAGAGCAGUUUACCCCUGACUGAACUGGACCAAAGGGGCCUUGGCUUAGCUCUCGUGGUGGAGCAGGAGUGAGCAUAGGGGUGCUUACUGCGCAUCAGCUAAGGUGCAAUGAGACCCCUUAAUUGUGACCAUGCAGGACAGUUGCAGGGGUUUGUGGGAAUUAGUGUCUACAGCCACAGAGAUUGAGAUCAGGCUGUGCAGGUGCUCCUGCUAGGAUGAAAGCUGGAGGGUCCUGGUUAGACAGUCUUGCUCCUCUGCUGAAGGUCAGAUUGAUGCUGCAUUGGGGUCAGGAAGGGAUUCCCCCCUGCUCGGACUGGUCCAGACUGGCGGGUUUUGCUUUCCUCUGCAGCGGGGGCAUGGCCUCUGUCUGGGGUCUCUGGAUUGUUUAUGACCCCCCCCCUUUGCAGCAGUGGGAUGUUGGUGGCCAUGCCCCCCUGCUUUCCUUGUGG